rnacentral:lncRNA from 1 species
GGGGUUCUCUGAAAGUGCCCCUCUUCUCUCUCCUCAGGGUGAUCGGGGACUGACGGGGACCCCGGGCGAGCCUGGAGUAAAGGUGUGUAGAGCCUGUGGGGUGCUUGGGAGCAUGCAGGUCAUGCUCGGCUCUGACCUCUUCUGUUCUCCCAGGGUGAACGGGGACAUCCUGGUCCCGUGGGACCCCAGGGGCUCCCUGGGGCUGCUGGACACCCUGGAGUGGAGGGUCCUGAGGUAAGUCUGUGACUGUGGAAGGGGUCAGGGAUGAGGCUUUCCUAGGUCCCUCCCUCCCUGUUUGGGCUCACAAUGUCUCCGUGUACAGGGGCCACCAGGACCCACUGGCCGCCGAGGAGAAAAGGGAGAACCUGGUCGCCCUGGGGAUCCUGCAGUGGGUCCUGGUGGUGCUGGAGCCAAAGGAGAAAAGGUAUGUCCGGAGGCUGUUAAAGGGUGAGGUCAAGGUCACAGGGUCUAUCUUGGGUCCGACCUAGAGAUCACAGGCUUUGGCUGAUGGCUGGGUUGUGGGAGUGCCUGGAGCCUGGUUCUAGUAUUGAUAGCCUUUGUCACCUUUAGGGAGAGGUUGGGCUCCCUGGGCCCAGAGGAGCUUCUGGAAGCAAAGGAGAGCAGGUGACUGAGGGGACAGCAUGUUGGGAGGUGGGACAGGUGCAGGCUAUACACCCCUGAAUACUGAUCAUUCCCUCUACAGGGCACACCUGGAUUGGCUCUUCCUGGAGACCCUGGCCCCAAAGGAGACCCUGGAGACAGGGUGACUAAAUUUUGGGCCAGGGGCAUGUGACAGAGGGUGGAGGGAAAGGUAUCUAGAAUUCUGACUAGCCUGUUCCCCUUCCUGCU